GCCAACUACGUGCCAGCAGCCGCGGUAAUACGUAGGGUGCAAGCGUUGUCCGGAAUUAUUGGGCGUAAAGAGCUCGUAGGCGGUCUGUCGCGUCGGCUGUGAAAACCCGGAGCUCAACUCCGGGCCUGCAGUCGAUACGGGCAAACUGGAGUGUUGCAGGGGAGACUGGAAUUCCUGGUGUAGCGGUGAAAUGCGCAGAUAUCAGGAGGAACACCGGUGGCGAAGGCGGGUCUCUGGGCAACAACUGACGCUGAGGAGCGAAAGCGUGGGGAGCGAACAGGAUUAGAUACCCCUGUAGUC
rnacentral:rRNA from 1 species